UACAGAGGGUGCGAGCGUUGUCCGGAAUCACUGGGCUUAAAGCGUGUGUAGGCGGACUUCUAAGUACCUUGUGAAAUCCCACGGCUUAAUCGUGGAACUGCUUGGUAUACUGGUCGUCUUGAGCCACUUAGGGGUUACCGGAACAAAUGGUGGAGCGGUGAAAUGCGUAGAUAUCAUUUGGAACGCCAAUGGUGAAAACAGGUAACUGGGAGUGUGCUGACGCUGAGACACGAAAGCCAGGGGAGCGAACGGG
rnacentral:rRNA from 1 species